ensembl:lncRNA
GUGGCCCAGAGGGCAACACUCUUGCACUUUACAGCUCUGAAGGAUGCUUAAUAAGGUGGCUGGCCCAAAGUGCUACACGUCUGAUGAGGGUUCAUUCAACUUCCUCUGGCCGCGCGGGCGGCGGUGAAAACGUUGCACAUCCAUUAACGGUGUGAAAACAAACAGACGUGGUGUUGGUCGAGCAGAUUGUAGAGCAAUAAAAAUCCACCUCGGGAUGUACUUGGGUGAGCUGAGGAGACAGAGGAAUGAAAGAGGAGAGGAUGAAAGGGAUGAAAUGUAUUCCAAGUGGACCGAGAGACAGACGAUUCCUUCUCCCCUAACAGAUGAGCUCAGGCUGCGUGGGAUUGGUAGAAUCAGCAAGAUCUUUCAAGUGG